GUGCUACUCUGCUCAGAGGCAGAGCAUCUGCUUUGAAUGCAGAAGGUCCCCAAGUUCAAUCCUUGGCAUUUCCAGGUAGGGCU